rnacentral:rRNA from 1 species
UAACGAAUCUUCCGCAAUGCACGAAAGUGUGACGGAGCGACGCCGCGUGGAGGACGAAGUCCUUCGGGAUGUAAACUCCUGUCAGGGGAAAGAUCUACCCCAGAGGAAGAGGCGGCUAACUCUGUGCCAGCAGCCGCGGUAAUACAGAGGCCUCGAGCGUUAGGCGGAAUCACUGGGCUUAAAGCGCGUGUAGGUGGACUGGUAAGUACCUUGUGAAAUCCCACGGCUCACCCGUGGAACUGCUUGGUAUACUGCUGGUCUUGAGCCAUUCAGAGGCAGCUGGAACAAACGGUGGAGCGGUGAAAUGCGUAGAUAUCGUUUGGAACGCCAAUGGUGAAGACAGGCUGCUGGGGAUGUGCUGACACUGAGACGCGAAAGCCAGGGGAGCAAACGGGAUUAGAUACCCCAGUAGU